UACGAGGGGUCCAAGCGUUGCUCGGAAUCAUUGGGCGUAAAGCGGGUGUAGGUGGCUUUGUAAGUCAGGAGUGAAAGCCCUAGGCUCAACCUAGGAAGUGCUUUUGACACUGCGAAGCUUGAGUGUAGGAGAGGAUCGUGGAAUUCCGGGUGUAGUGGUGAAAUACGUAGAUAUCUGGAGGAACACCGGUGGCGAAGGCGGCAUCCUGGACCGACACUGACACUGAGGAGCGAAAGCCAGGGGAGCAAACGGG
rnacentral:rRNA from 1 species